rnacentral:snRNA from 1 species
GUGCGCUUUGGCAGCAUAUGUACUAAAAUUGGAACGAGACAGAAAAGAUUAACAUGGCCCCUGGGCAAGAAUGACAUGGAAAAUUUGUGAAGCGUUCCAUAUUUUU